UGGCUCUCAGGAUAUGAACUCACCAAUCAGAAGUCCAGGUCUAGAAUUUAAACCCACAGGUGUUGUUUUCAGCGGUCAACCAAUCAGAAAGCAGCAUGUAAAUUCGGGUCUUUGCUGACUUCCCUGUCCUGAGUUGAAACUAGGAACCUUUUUCUGCCUCAGCGAGGAGACGAUCAGAUCAGACUGAAGCUGAGUGGAAACAACCUGAAGGUUCAGAGGCUGCAGUGCUGCACCUGCACCUCCAGGGGGCGGUCUGAGCUCCUGCACAGCUGAGCAGGAUAAACAGGAGGUGAAAUGCAUCGUUCAAAGAAUUACGACUCCGGAGAAAACUGUUGAUGAGCCUGAAAACCGGCCGUCAUGAAAAGCUGAAUGUAGAAGUUCACACCCCAUGGGUAAAAAGGAGGACACUUUAACGACUACGAAUGGCUCUGCAACAAGAGGCUCAAGUUCAUGGAAAAUACAACACAAGCCUGCGUGGACCAGCACCAGUGCAACGAGAAGGCCUUAAACUCAGUGGGGAAAGCAGAAAUCUGUCUGCGUGAGAACUUGCAGAACCGAUUCAAGGACAUGAACUCCACUGUUCUUCAUGCAACCAAACUGGAGGAUCUGAAGUCUAUGGUAAAACAUUGUGAAGGUAAAUACUUUGUCAUAAUAUCUUUCAACAUUAAGAUCAUUUUCACAUUUGGAUGUUUAUGUAGUAUAACUACAUAUUUGUAAGGAAAAUACUUUUUGAAUGUUGGGGUUGUGUAGACUGUUAAAGUUUGAAGUUAAUAGUUAGUUAAAAAUAACUUAUUGCACCACACAUCUGUUAAGGUGUCCAUGCUGUUAUGUUAAAUUGGUUUGUGUACGUACAUAUUUAUGGUAAACUUAUUUAUAAGGGAGCAUGAUAAUUAUCUAGAAAUUAUGACGUUAUUCUUAUCGUUCGGCUGUCAAUACGAAUAGCACUGAUAACAUAUUCAGUGUUGUGGUUCUUUUAAUCAAGCGGUCUCACCUGCACAAAGUUCAAGUGGUAUUUUCAUAAUGGGAGAAAACAACUUUCUGACUGGAAAUAAAUCAUUUCAAAAUCUCCUCACACCAGAAAACAGCUCUGAUCAUUUUAAUGUAGUUCCAAAAUGACAUAAAUUAUUCAAACAACAGAAAGGUAAACGUGAGGUCAGAACAACUCCCACUCUGAAAACUUCCAACACCUUGUGAAUGCAGCCCAGCUUGUCAGGAAAUAGAGAACAUGGAGGCUGAAGUUUGAACAUUUUUUAAGGUUUCAAAGGAAGACAAUCUGCUGGCUUUGAGUAACAAAUGUUGAAAAAAUCUUUUGGUAUGAGAAAACCAGCACAAUCUUUAGCAUGUUCAAUUUGAUCAGUCACCUUAAACACAGCUAUUGUUUUGACGGAGCGUUCAAAGCAUUUUAGGACGCCUCGAUGCUAAAGACAAUAGCAACAAGCCUCCAAGAAACCGUCGGGACUCCAUCCGCUUUUGACGAGAAUUUGCCCUUGAAGAAACAAGAGAUGAAGUGAUGAAAGAUCUCACGAUGGGAAUGACGGCGACUGAUGUUCUUCUACUAGAUAAGUAUGAUUUGACUUAAAAGCUUUGAUUGACAGCAAUAUUAAUAAUAUAAGCUUCUUCUUCUGCUAAUAAUGGCUUAGUGUAAUUGUGCCUUCACUGGUCUUUGCUUCAAGGAUAUAAGUGUUAUAAAUAUCUAUAAUUAUACAUUAGCAACAUAAAUGUGUCUUCUUUAAAUCUAACUCGUCUCAGCAUUUUCUAACUUGUGGGAUGCAUUUUUUUUUUUCAAUCAUAGUUAUUUUAAAUCCCUGAUUAAUUCAAGAAACCUUGUUUUUUUUUACAUCAGUAAUCAAUGAACCACAUUCAAAUAUAUGUGAAUUUGAGACUUUCUGUUCAGUUCUGUCAACUGUUUUUGGUCUUUAGAUUAUUGAUGUUACAGCCUUACAGUUUUGUUCACCAAUCUGUCAUUUCCAGGUAUGCUAUCGGCUAUUGGUGUUAUCUGUUAUAAGUGCUUGGAAUGAGAAAACUAUUGAUUACCAACAUCGGUUUAAAAAAAAGUUAUUGUGCUCCCCACAAUAGUAGAUGCUUUAUCUGACAGACAUAAGAAUAAAUCAUACGAUUUAUAUAAUUUGAUUGCGGGUAGAGUUUGUAGCCAAGGGAAGAAUUGCACUCAAAAUAGCAAAUUGUGUCUGGUGAAAUGUUUUUAUUUGCUCCCCUGCCUGGGAGAACUUUACACAGGUCUUAUGAUUAGUGCAGAGUUCUGUGAUGACCUCAGGUCUGGCUCUGGUUCUGAUUCCAAAGAGAAUCUCAACAGCCAACAGAAUGGGUCAGGAAGAACAACAGCAGAACUUCCUCUAAGCAGAACCAGUGCGUUUUUUGGUUGGUUCUGUUGCAUGUUGUGAAAGUCCAAAGCCCCCCUUAACGCUCCAUCUACCUUCAUCACAAAGUUAAAGCUGGGAGGAGCUGCUUCAGGUAACAGUGCUGCUUUGUUUUCUUUAAAUGAGGAUGAAAGUCCCACCUGAGUAGGUAACUGAGGCGACGCUGCCACACCUGGGGCCUUCAGGUAAGUCCUGCUGGUGUACCAAACCUUCUCAGUCUCCAGUGAUUCAGGGUGAGAUAUUAAUAUUCGCAACACGUAUGUGUUAAAUCUUCCACUGUGAAGUACAAACUGUAUGCGUUUGUGUGCUGAGGGUAGGCCUGCGUAUUGUGGCCCAUUUUCUUAAUAGAUUCAGUUCAGUUUGCUCUUAAAGAAUGAAAAUUACUGAACUGUUGCAAAAUACCUUUUCAUGUGGUUUCUACAAUAACUGACCUCUGCUUGGUAAAUCUUUCAGUUCACUUUGGAUUUUCCAGCUGUUUGUCAUUUCUUGUUUUAAAUCCAAAAUGGUUGCUGAUGUCAGAUCUUCGUUGGGGUCACUUGCUCAGUGCAGCGUUCUGCACAAGCGGCUGCUCUGUCUUUCAGCUUUAACCUGAUGUCACACAUUACUGUUGAACAGUCUCAUGUCCUACAAAUCAAUAUUGCUAAAUUUAAACGUGAUCAAUCCAAAAUGAUGUAAUUUUAUGCCAUACGAUUAAAGCAUGUUGCACAAAUAAACACAUCUCCAUAGGAGUAAUAAGAACGUUGCUGAUACUAAUUUUUUUUCUAGCUUUGACAGAAAAACAGGAUCCAUGACGAUAAUAAAAACAAAUUUUUGUUUUCACUGUUUGUAACAAAUUUUCUAUAUGCUUUUUAAAAGAAAUCUCUUUAUCUAAAAUAAAACCAAGAUAUUUAUAAUUACUGACAAACUCAAUUUGUGCACUGUUGAGGAAGAAUAAUUUAUAAAUUAACUUUGGAAAAAAAAGUUUGGCUCUGUCUUCCUCUGGAUCCCAGGUCCUCUCAGCGGGCGACGUGCGGCCACAAGGAAAACAACAAUGCAUGUUGACGUCACAGAAUUACAGAGUUUAAUCCCAUACAAAGCAACGCAUGAAUUAACAACAAAACCGCAGAGGAACAG